AUGUGCGUCGCUUCAGGCGGAUUAUCAGCCAAUAAUAACUUUUGUUGUGGUUCAAAAGAGGCAUCAUAUUCGUCUCUUUCCUGCUGACCAUAAAAGUCGCAGUACUACGGACAAGAGUGGUAACAUUUUGCCAGGUACUGUGGUUGAUACCAAGAUUUGCCACCCCAAUGAAUUCGAUUUCUAUCUUUGCAGCCAUGCUGGGAUCCAGGGAACUAGUCGUCCAGCACAUUACCAUGUGUUGUACGAUGAAAAUCGGUUGAGUGCAGAUG